rnacentral:rRNA from 1 species
GAUGAACGCUGGCGGCGUGCCUAAUACAUGCAAGUCGAGCGAACGGAUGAGAAGCUUGCUUCUUUGAUGUUAGCGGCGGACGGGUGAGUAACACGUGGAUAACCUACCUAUAAGACUGGGAUAACUUCGGGAAACCGGAGCUAAUACCGGAUAAUAUUUUGAACCGCAUGGUUCAAAAGUGAAAGACGGUCUUGCUGUCACUUAUAGAUGGAUCCGCGCUGCAUUAGCUAGUUGGUAAGGUAACGGCUUACCAAGGCAACGAUGCAUAGCCGACCUGAGAGGGUGAUCGGCCACACUGGAACUGAGACACGGUCCAGACUCCUACGGGAGGCAGCAGUAGGGAAUCUUCCGCAAUGGGCGAAAGCCUGACGGAGCAACGCCGCGUGAGUGAUGAAGGUCUUCGGAUCGUAAAACUCUGUUAUUAGGGAAGAACAUAUGUGUAAGUAACUGUGCACAUCUUGACGGUACCUAAUCAGAAAGCCACGGCUAACUACGUG